rnacentral:rRNA from 1 species
AUUGAACGCUGGCGGCAGGCCUAACACAUGCAAGUCGAGCGGUUGAAGGGAGCUUGCUCCUGGAUUCAGCGGCGGACGGGUGAGUAAUGCCUAGGAAUCUGCCUGGUAGUGGGGGAUAACGUCCGGAAACGGGCGCUAAUACCGCAUACGUCCUGAGGGAGAAAGUGGGGGAUCUUCGGACCUCACGCUAUCAGAUGAGCCUAGGUCGGAUUAGCUAGUUGGUGGGGUAAAGGCCUACCAAGGCGACGAUCCGUAACUGGUCUGAGAGGAUGAUCAGUCACACUGGAACUGAGACACGGUCCAGACUCCUACGGGAGGCAGCAGUGGGGAAUUUUGGACAAUGGGCGCAAGCCUGAUCCAGCCAUGCCGCGUGUGUGAAGAAGGUCUUCGGAUUGUAAAGCACUUUAAGUUGGGAGGAAGGGCAGUAAGUUAAUACCUUGCUGUUUUGACGUUACCAACAGAAUAAGCACCGGCUAACUUCGUG